AUGAAGAUCAUUCCGGUGGCUUGCUUGGAGGAUAACUAUGCCUACCUGAUCGUUGACGAGAGCACCAAGGCGGCGGCGGCCGUCGACCCGGUGGAGCCGGAGAAGGUGCUGGCGGCGGCCAGCGAGGUCGGCGCCUACAUCGACUGCGUCCUCACCACCCACCACCACUGGGAUCAUGCUGGUGGCAAUGAGAAGAUGAGGCUGCUGGUGCCAGGGAUUAAGGUCUAUGGGGGAUCCAUGGACAAUGUUAAAGGCUGCACUGAUCAGGUGGAAAACGGAACUAAGUUAUCCAUUGGGAAGGAAAUUGACAUACUGUGCCUACAUACGCCAUGUCAUACAAAAGGUCAUAUUAGCUACUACGUUACUAGCAAAGAGGAGGAAGACCCAGCAGUAUUUACUGGAGACACCUUGUUCAUUGCUGGCUGUGGGAGGUUUUUCGAGGGUACGGCAGAGCAAAUGUACCAGUCCCUUUGUGUUACACUGGGCUCGCUGCCUAAGUCAACUCGUGUUUACUGUGGCCAUGAGUACACUGUAAAGAGCCUACAAUUCAUGCUGACAGUCGAGCCAGAGAACGAAAAAAUGAAGCAGAAACUGGAAUGGGCUCAAAAGCAGCGUGAAGCAAAUCAACCGACGGUUCCCUCAACUAUAGGAGAUGAGCUUGAGAUAAACACCUUCAUGCGUGUUGAUCUGCCUGAAAUACAGGCAAAAUUUGGUGCCAAGUCGGCAGUUGAAGCGCUGAGGACGGUCAGGAACAUCAAGGAUACCUGGAAAGGUGGCGUUUACAGCCGUGCGAUGCUUUGA
rnacentral:rRNA from 1 species